UGAGGCCACGCACAUCUUUCCGCUGGGACAUCCCAUCAUCGCCGGUCAGGACUCGUGUAGAUGAAUACCACCUCCUCUACAUUUGGUGACCCGAACAACGAACACCAUGUUCGGCGUAAUUCGGCCACUCAACAUCCUAAAUUUUUCGGUAAACCAGUAGCGAACCAGCCUCUAGCAGGCAAGGCGCACCGGGACCAUUGUUCCACCGGGGACCCGCAGGGAGACCACAGUAACCUGACUUUCCGGCCUCCACCUGCUUCACGAUGGUCCUCCCCGGCACUUGUCAUCUAUAAACAACUCAAGAUUGACAAAGAAAGGUACCUUACACUGCACCAUACGAGACAGCUGCGAGGUAAUCAUUCCUUGUCCUUCAAGCCCCUUUUCCUUUAAUAAUCAAACAUUCAAAUACUCCUUCUUCCCUAGAACGAUAUUGGAGUGGAACAGCCUUAGCUCCGAUAUUACUAACGCCCGUGUCGUUACGUUACGUCGCUACUAACGUGUCGAUACGUUCACAGCUGCCCUCAAGUAAGUAGCCUGCUAUAUUAGACGGUUGUUACAUGAUGUUCAAAUCAAUUCCCAAUUUAUUAAUUAAUAUGACGUAGGACCUCAUCUCACUAUUAGCUGUUUUGUGCUUAAUGCUGCUCAUCUCUUUCUUUCUAUAUUGAUCAUUGUGUAUGAUGUAUUUUGCUUGAUGUGUUGUGUGUAUGAUCUUGCUCGUACCUGUGAUGGUCCCGUUGGGACCAACAGUGUGCUGAAAUAAAUAAAUAAAUACAUAAAUAAGUCCUGCCACUUUUAGCUAUGUUUGCCAAAAUACACUCUUAAACCCGUACCUUUUAUUGUAACUUUUAGAAACAUGUAACUUCUGUAUAGACGUAGAUUUCGAGAUUUCUUAUAGGUUACACCACUGUAACGUAUAUUUAGAGGUUAAAAGCGACCAAAGUCAUGUCUUUACAACACGAAUAGAAGUUACAUCUAGGAAAAAACAAAAACAUCUUGUUGUAACUUAUAAAUGUACCCUCUACUCCGACACUGUAACUUCUAAGCGAAAUCUCCAACGAUAAUCUCUUUGUUAGUUUCUUAUCGUUUGUUUUCCUUUUGUUUUUCAGCAUAAUGCCGCGUUUCAGCCUCCCAUUCGAGACGACAGUUGCGAAUCUACGCUGUUAUUUUUUAUCUGUUUCAGCGUCACCUAUACGUCAACUACAUGUUAUCAAUGCUGUAUGAACACAGAUUAUAAGUUCGCAGUCUGAAAUACAGAUAGUAUGUUUCUUUUUAAAGGGUGGAAAACAAUUGUCAAUGCCGCAACCACCAAGAUUUCCGAUUUCGCUGCGUAGCCGAGCCUGGUCUAGGUCUAUCCACACUGAGAGCGGUUUCCUUGAAACGCUUAACGCUCGUCGUCCGUUCGUUAACAAGUGUAAUCUGUUUUAAUCAGUGGUUUUCCUCGCGUUUAUCAUAGUAUCGUCAGGAACACCGGAAAAGCUAGAUGUCGCUAGCAAACAAGUAUAUUUUCGGUGUUCUGAGGGGAAAGUGUAGUGAGUGCGAAGAUUGCAAAGAAUAUAUAACCGAAAACGAACGUCACCACCGCAGCCCUAAUUCACACACUUCAUACACUGGGUAAGUGUACAUUUUGUGCUAGGUACGUGCGUUAUUUUGAUAGCAAGAGCUCUUAGCGCAUGUUUGUUGUGAUUAUGGCAAGCGUUUUGCGGCCCUGCAUAUGAACGCCACUUACGCUUGCUACUUUUCUGCUCUUACUUGGUCGCCAAGUCAAUACACCGGCGUGCAUUUUGCGAGCUGCGGAUAUAUGCAUCGAGAUAUAUAAUUCGCAGCUUCCUACUUGUUGUAUUCUUACGAUAUUCUAAGACUCAAUCGCGGAGUGAACGCCUUCCCGCAUUUAUGCUGAUUUGUACCUUGUGCUUUGUACGAAUUUGAAUGGUUCCGUAAAUGUUACUCUCAUUGCCCAAACUUUUGUUCCCAGGAUCCCACAUGCAGGUUCACAUACCGUCACCAGCGCAAUGCAGUACCUCACAAACUCGUCCCAGAGCGCCUCCAACGCUGAUAACGCAGUAAUGUAGUGUCACCUGCGUUACUGUACACUCAUAUUCCUCAAGGUUGUGUGCGUUUUAUGUAAUACUGUAUUGCCAUUUGCGCUCGCCUCUGCAACACGAAUGUGGAAUAAAUUUUUUUCUGCUGCAAUU